rnacentral:rRNA from 1 species
CUCGUAGGCGGUUCAACAAGUCGGUCGUGAAAGCCCGGGGCUCAACCCCGGGACGCCGGUCGAAACUGUUGUGACUAGGGUCCGGUAGAGGUGAGUGGAAUUCUCGGUGUAGCGGUGGGAUGCGCAGAUAUCGAGAGGAACACCAGUAGCGAAGGCGGCUCACUGGGCCGGUACCGACGCUGAGGAGCGAAAGCAUGGGGAGCAAACA